rnacentral:sRNA from 1 species
UUUUCUCAUUAGGGAUUUAUAUGGUUUAGUAAAUUGCCCCCUUUGCUAGGUUAUCUGUAGAAUUCUUCAUCUUUGAUUAUGCUUAAUGCUAGAUCUAGAGUAAUUAACUAGAUCUUGAAUCCAGACAAUAGAUAUGCCCACCAUAAGUAUCUGUAGUUGGAUCUAUUAUUUGAUGAGCCUGAUUUAUAGGUGUAUAAUAAGAAUCGGCCUAUAUACUAAGGUGAACAAUCAAACUCGUUAAGAAUGCAUGUUUAGGUUAAAAAUCUCUCGGCUUCUCCGGUUAUUCUUAGCUAUAGACAUAGGGAGUUUCGCGGAACACCACCGGUUAUUUCAUAAUGAGAGUUUGAGUUUAAGAAUGGUUCGAUAACAACCUAGCUUCCAUUAGAUCUACUAACCAAU